AGUGAACGCUGGCGGUAGGCCUAACAUAUGCAAGUCGAACGGCAGCACAGUAAGAGCUUGCUCUUACGGGUGGCGAGUGGCGGACGGGUGAGGAAUACAUCGGAAUCUACUUUUUCGUGGGGGAUAACGUAGGGAAACUUACGCUAAUACCGCAUACGACCUACGGGUGAAAGCAGGGGAUCUUCGGACCUUGCGCGAUUGAAUGAGCCGAUGUCGGAUUAGCUAGUUGGCGGGGUAAAGGCCCACCAAGGCGACGAUCCGUAGCUGGUCUGAGAGGAUGAUCAGCCACACUGGAACUGAGACACGGUCCAGACUCCUACGGGAGGCAGCAGUGGGGAAUAUUGGACAAUGGGCGCAAGCCUGAUCCAGCCAUACCGCGUGGGUGAAGAAGGCCUUCGGGUUGUAAAGCCCUUUUGUUGGGAAAGAAAAGCAGCAGGUUAAUACCCCGCUGUUCUGACGGUACCCAAAGAAUAAGCACCCGCUAACUUCGUG
rnacentral:rRNA from 1 species